CCUUAACCAAUGCCAAGAAGAUGAAUAUUUAGUAAGGUUAGGUCACAGUGGUUGUUGUUUGGUUAGGUAUUAGAUGUCAGUUUACUGAUUUGCUUGUAGAGGCUUUGUUUUGUAUACAAAAUCAGAAACUGUUCCACCAAAGUGGAGUUUAAACCAUGGUUGUAGAAAAGAGGAAAGCUGAAGAUUCUUCUCUCGUUCCCGUUGAAAAAAGAUCAAGAAAUGAAGUCGCCAACAAGAAUAAAAACACUUCUGUAUUACAAGCAACACCUGCGAGAACCUCGAAUCUGUUUGCUCCAAUUAUGCUCCUGGAAGGUCAUGAAGGAGAAAUAUUUACUGUAGAUUUUCAUCCGGAGGGACAAUAUAUAGCUUCCUCAGGAUUUGACAGAAAAAUUUGUAUGUAUUAAUCUAUAAUCUGCUGAACCUGGUAUAAUUACAGUUUUUUUUAUCAGUUCCACAUGCAAAUGUGACAUUUCAGUUUCUUACUAUACUAAUUUAUGCAUGUGAAAAUACAUACUACAUUUUUAAAA